UCCGCCUUGUGUGCGGCAGUCUCUCUAGAUAUGCAACUAGAGACGGGGGGUUGCGCUCGUUGCGGGACUUAACCCAACAUCUCACGACACGAGCUGACGACAGCCAUGCAGCAUCUGUCUAUCCGUCCUUGCGGAGGGCCUGCUUUCACAGGCUUGCGAAUAGAUGUCAAGCCCAGGUAAGGUUCUUCGCGUCGCAUCGAAUUAAACCACACGCUCCGCUGCUUGUGCGGGUCCCCGUCAAUUCCUUUGAGUUUUAGUCUUGCGACCGUACUCCCCAGGCGGACCACUUAAUGCGUUAGCUUCGGCACAGGAGGGGUCAACACCCCCCACACCUAGUGGUCAUCGUCUACUGCUAGGACUAC
rnacentral:misc_RNA from 1 species